AGGAGUAGGUGGAUGUAUUGGGGGAGGGAUCAGUGUCCAUCGAGUGAAGAGGUCUGAGCCCCCCGUGGCUGACCAGGUGGAGCUGAUGCGCCAGUGACGCUCGGCUGCCUCUCUGCAUGUCCAGGACUGGAAGUGGUGGUGACACCCGUGUCCUGGCCCCCUCCAGCGGCAUGAGGAGAUGAUCAUCCCUGGAGGACCCCCCUGAUCCCCUGGGUGCCCUGGCAAUUUCCCUGCAAGAAUCAAUAAACCCCUGCAGCAA